rnacentral:lncRNA from 1 species
UUGAGUGGACGAAAGAAUGAAAGAGUAAAAGCUAUUAAAUUUCUUCUCACUGGUGGCCAAACAGGAUUGCCAGGUCUCCAGCUAAAGCUCUGAUGAAGGACUAUGGACGACUUCAGAAAUUAUUCGUCAUCUAGUGCUAAAGUUUCCUACAGCACAGUUGCAGAAAGUAGCUUCAGUGUGACCCGAGCUUUAUUUAAACAACACGUAUACCUCCAGGUAAAAUAUGAGUGAAAAAGUCUAAAGAGAACUCCUCCUCGUUUUUUUAAGGAAAUAAAUAAGCACUUUUCUGAGCAGCCAACAUGAUUGUGUGCAUGGAUAGAUACUUAUGUCCCUAAUGAUAUGCAGAGAUCAGCUAUUCUUCUACACUACAGAGAAAGGAUUGAGAAAAGGCAUAGCUUUGCAGUGCUGGAGCUCAAAGGAAAGGCCUCAAGCAUGCUAAGGGUUAACAAGUCCUUCAUAAGGGCCUGUAAUCCAUCAGGAAGUGUGCCAGUUAAUUCUCACUGACAUGAGAGUAUAAAUAACUUUUAUUUAUUCUUCUUCCUUUUAUGUAUUCUUUGUAUUGCAGACUAAUCAACCAUCUUAAUUUUAUAAGGAAACACCUGUGUCAGAUAUUUGUAUCUUCUUAUGUGCGUUUGAGUGGCCUGGCUCUGGGGAGCAGAAUACAGGAGUAAUGUUAGUAGUACAUUUUCCAUUAGUGUUCAUGGAGGGGGCUUAAGUGGAACUCUCUAUGAAAUCCCACUAGCUGGAAGAACCCUGCCUCUUGCAGCCGGUUUAUGCAAAUGCAGAGACAACUCUAUCAACACCCAACCUUCCUCCAGCAAGCAAAGAUGCAGCCUGGGUGAGUUAGAACACACUAGAAUUGGAACAGACAUGCCCCUGUGGCCCACACAUAUCUGUCCUCUCAGCAGUUUAAUUGCUUGUUAGUAAGAACGUAGGAGAACCUUGAACAUGAAGUGAGUUCCAGUUCCUUGGGUUUCAUGAGACCACUGUCACUUGCAACAGGCUCCUGUGUUCAGGGGAGCCAUUAUCUCCAAGAAUCAUAAUUUCUUUGUAUACAUUUGGAGAGCAAACUUUAUGCAGAGUUUAUUCCCUGGUGGCUUGAGGUCUCCUCUACUUUGAGUUUUAAGCUCCCCAUCUGCAGAUGUUCUCCUGGCUGUGGACUUCUCGGCUUUAGAGCGGGACAGAUGUUUCUCCUGUCACUGCGUUGUGUCAGUCAGAUAAUGAAAUGCUUAAUUAGUUCUUUUUUUUUCCUUGCCACAAGAUCACUUUAUAAAAUAGCAAAUUAAGAGCUUUGAAAAUGAGCCAUCUCAUUUGGCGCUCAGCUAUCUAUGUCCCUGGUGUGUUUUCUGGGUGUUUGCUUUCAUGAGCAUACUCACAGAGGGUCCUUUGCUUAGGCCCCAGGCACAGACACCAGACUAAGGGUCCAGUUCAGGAGUUGGGACCACCAGCCACCCAACAGCUCAAGUAGCUGUUGCUUUAUCUGCAAAUAACCCAGAGGCAAUGGGCAGGACUGCUCCUGGCAGCUAAGAGGACACCCCUGGCAGAGUCUACUCUGUGCUGCUCUCUCUAGAACUUUGUCUCUCGGCUGACGUAGAAAGGG